rnacentral:rRNA from 1 species
AUGAAUUGGACUCCUCCUAUGUCGGCGUUGAUGUUGAAAGGCCUUUCAGAGGUGGCGGCAAGAGGUGCCAAGACUGACAAAGGAUUCAAAGAGGUUGAAAAAUUGAAAGUUGCAAAGCGUAUAUCUUCUUUCGUUGGUUAUGACGUGUCUAUUACGCAAGUGCACAAUCAUAUUCGCAAGUGGAGGAAUAGGUGGACAAGGCUUGUCUAUUUGAAGGCUUUAAGUGGGGCACUUUGGGAUGACGACAAGAAGAUGGUAGUGCUAGAAGAACAACACUAUUUGGGCCACACUCGGGAUCAUCCAGCAGAUGCUGAAUUGCUCAAUUCUCCACUGGAGAACUACGACUAUAUGGAACUUUGCUUUGCUAAUAAGCAUGCCACUGGGAAAUAUGCAAUGGGCCCCGGUGUGCCCCUAGGAACGCCUAUUGUUGUGGAAGACAAGGAUAAACUGAAUGUCAUGGAGGGGGAAGGAACAACGGAUGAGGUAUUGCAACAUCUUCCUGGAUCUAACUUUGUACUUCCUACUGCUAGUGCCACUCAGGACCCUUCUCCUACUUCAAAUAAGAAGAGAAAGAGGGCAUCUGGCUUGACAGAGGAGGACUCAAUCCAGUGUAGCAACAUGACUGAUGCUAUGCGUGAGAUUGCAAGUGCUAUCAACAACACUUGUCAUGUUGAAACACACCCUGACUUGUACAAGGCUGUCAUAGACCUUCUUGUGUUUGAUCAAGAUGAGCACUUGGCAGUUUUAGAUUAUCUCACAGAACAUAAGGCAAAAGCCCUUAACUUUUUGAAGAUGGAUGAUGAAGUUCGAAAAGCAUCGUUCAAGCGAAUCUUG